AGAAUAGCCGCCCUAUAGUACUGCCGAACGUCUGGCAUUCCCAGGCCACCGUUUGCCUGCUGCCUGCAUAAUAUUUUUGCUGAUACUCUUACUUUUUGAUGGGCCCAUAUGAAGCCCGUAAAUAGCUUAUGUAGGUUAUCUAGGUAACUUUUUGGUAUGUGGAUUUGUAGGGUUCUUAUCAAAUAUUGGAACUUCGUCAACACUAGCAUUUUUACUGCGGCCAUCCUUCCCAGCCAUGACAGAAACUUGCCUUCCCACCCUUUCAAUGUGUUCGCUAUAGACUUCAGCAAUGGGUCAUAGUUCGCGGCUACGAGGUUUGUCGGGUUUUUUGUAAUUUUAAUGCCUAAGAAAGUUAGAUGGUCUUGCCUCCAGUCUAGUGUGAAGGACCGCUGUAGCAGGUCCAGCAUGCCAGCUGGGACCCCUACUCCCAUAGCCUGUGUUUUCGUUAUGUUGAGUUUGUAGUAUGAGUGGGUGCCAUAAGUAGUUAUCUCUUUCAAGAUAUUGGGGAGGGAGACCUGGGGCUGGGUAAGCAUCAGUAGGACAUCGGCAGCAAAUAAGUUGGUAGGAAAAAUGAAUGUUUAACAUUUCUAAUUGUAUUUUAACAUCAGAAGAAAUUUUACUUUUAAACAAAGGGUUCAAAUUUGUGCCAAAUGAACCACCCAAUCUAUUUCAGCUAUUUGUUGAUGCCCAAAAGUUUGUUAGGAGAAUGUGCAUUAAGAGAUUUUUCAUCAAAAAACAGAAUGAUAAUAUCCAGAACGAUCACACUACUAGUGGGAAUACUAAUGUCUCUAAAUUUAGGUCCAAAUCAAAAUUUUGCAUAAAAUGAUAAGGGAAGCCAAAUAACAGCUUUUAAUAAAAGUAUAUUGAGAGAUUUUGAGAAACUUGGCAAAAACCCGCUGUAGCAGGUCCAGCAUGCCAGCCGGGACCCCUACUCCCAUAGCCUGCGUUUUCGUUAUGUUGAGUUUGUAGUAUGAGUGGGUGCCAUAAGUAGUUAUCUCUUUCAAGAUAUUGGGGAGGGAGACCUGGGGCUGGGUA